AUUUAGUAACUGUGCAAAUGGGCAACCCACUAGGUAAGCUUAUGUUGAUUCAGGGUGUCCUGUCACUUAAACACAAACAUUAGGUGGUGAACUCCCUGGCAUUAAUCAGCUUAUAAAUAACCACAUCAUUUUAAGAGUGGAAAGUUUUCUUUCUGUAGCCCCCAGUCAUCUAUACAACUCGCCUCUCUCUUUCUCCAUGACAUUGCUGAGGACAUGGCUCAGAUCGUCAGUGUUGGAAAAUGAGACACAUGAACACAGGGAGAUCUCAACAAGCCUCUUUCUUUACUUCUGCAGAAGGGCGCAGGUGCUCAAAAAGUGCCUUCAAAGAAGAAAAGACCCUCCCUAUUUACCCCUAAGGCAGGUGAUAUACCUGUCCCCUCCCCAUUGGUCAGGUCAGGGCCCACGUUCUUCUCGGUUGGCUAAUUUGAAACAAAUUGUUACCGGAAGAAGAGGGAAGUGAGGUGGGGUGGGGUUGCAGGAAGGCGUUUCAGCUGAACCCUGAGCAAAAUGGAGUAACCAAGGUUUCCUUUGCUAGAAAAGACAUUAUGUUACUUUCCACAACAUUGAAAAUGAGACGAUAUAAAUGAGAAGCAUAGCUUAAGCCUACACUCUGCUGGAUUAUUUCUAUCUCCUUUUAAUCAGUGUAUGUGUAAGUAUAUCAACUCAUGACUUUUUGCCAUGACUCUUCAUAAUCAUUCCAAAGGAGUUACAAUCAAUUUGAACUAGCAAGAUCCUUGGGAUUUUAAAACAUUUUUUUUGACUUUAGGUGUGAAAAUGAAAGUUAUUCAGAGACCAUUCAGUGAUAAUGUGAGGCAUCCAUGCCUUUAUUAAAAGGAAUGAAAGUUUGGAAUGUAGGACUAAACAAUGACCAUCCUGUACGUUAAAAUGUAGCACAUAUAGGUUUGAAGACUGAAAAAUAAUCAUCCACUUCCCAUUGCACAUCAAAGCAAAAUCUCCUAUUUAACAGUUCUAAGAAGAUUUUAUUCUGCAUUUGAAUUGAUGGUUUUGCUAAAAUGUACUAUAUGAAAAACUGCAUGUUCUAUCCCUUUCUGCUUUGUAUCUGGGAGAAAAGACCCGUCUUUUAUGGUGGUUCAGAUUUCAAGUGAUAAUAGGUACCAGUGGGGAAAAAAAAAUCCUGACUUGCCUCUUGGAAAAUCAUAGAGCUUUUCUGGGUUUUAGCUUUUCUCUCUAUAGGAGGUGGACAAUGACUUUCCUAAGAGAAUUUCAAUAUUAAUUCUUGGUUUGGGGAAAACAGGCUAGGUUCGUGAUGAUAUUGCUGUGCCGUAAGUGCUCAUCCUCUGAUCUCAGCUGAGCUGGGUUGUCAAAAAGGAGUAGUUCAUCAUAUGGGUACACACAGGCAUUCAAUGAAGGCGGUUGCCUUAUUCUAUGAAAGUAUUGGCUACUCAAUGACAUAGUUUAAUGUGUAUCUCCUCACUGUGUCUUCUGAUAAAGGAACCCGUAGUAUCCAUGAGGUUGCGGGCUUGAUCCCUGGCCUUGCUCAGUGGGUUAAGGAUCCAGUGUUGCUGUGAGCUGUGUUGUGGGUCAAAAACAUGGCUCGGAUCUGGUAUUGCUGUGGCUGUGGUGUAGGCCAGCAGCUGUAGCUCCAAUAGACCCCUAGCCUGGGAACUUCCAUAUGUCUCAGGUAUGGGC
rnacentral:lncRNA from 1 species